ACAGUGGAAGAGCCGGUUCAUCUCAAGCACGCUGGGAUCCUUCUCUCCCUUCGCCCAGCAGUGGUGACAUUUCACACACCUGGGGCAGGAGCUGGGAGGUGGCAGAGAGGUGGUCUUGGUGAGAAAGGAGGACUGAAGGACGUGUGGUGUGAGUCCGGGUUACGGUAAGAGACUAAAAACUGCAAAGGAUAAAAAGCUAUCGUCUCAAAGCACUUCACAUCCCUUAGAGCUGUGUCUCAAGAACGUAAGAGAACCUAUCACAUGAAAGGUGGCCCUGAUGGAGUUGUGGUGAAAAGCCUGGCUGCUAACCAAAAGGUUGGCAGUUUGAAUCCACCAGCUGCUCCUUGGAAACCCUAUGGGGCAGUUCUACUCAGAAUGGACUCAAUGGCAAUGGGUUUUAUUAUGUGAAAGAACUCAAUAAAACUAA